rnacentral:rRNA from 1 species
UCCUGGCUCAGGACGAACGCUGGCGGCGUGCUUAACACAUGCAAGUCGAGCGGUAAGGCCCUUCGGGGUACACGAGCGGCGAACGGGUGAGUAACACGUGGGUGACCUGCCCUCCACUUCGGGAUAAGCCUGGGAAACUGGGUCUAAUACCGGAUAUGACCAUGGGAUGCAUGUUCUGUGGUGGAAAGUUUUUCGGUGGGGGAUGGGCCCGCGGUCUAUCAGCUUGUUGGUGGGGUGAUGGCCUACCAAGGCGAUGACGGAUAGCCGGCCUGAGAGGGUGAUCGGCCGCACUGGGACUGAGACACGGCCCAGACUCCUACGGGAGGCAGCAGUGGGGAAUCUUGCGCAAUGGGCGGAAGCCUGACGCAGCAACGCCGCGUGAGGGAUGACGGCCUUCGGGUUGUAAACCUCUUUCGCGAUCGACGAAGCUCCAGUCUUUGCUGGGGUGACGGUAGGUCGAGAAGAAGCACCGGCCAACUACGUGCCAGCAGCCGCGGUAAUACGUAGGGUGCGAGCGUUGUCCGGAAUUAUUGGGCGUAAAGAGCUCGUAGGCGGUGUGUCGCGUCGGCCGUGAAAACCUGGGGCUUAACUCUGGGCGUGCGGUCGAUACGGGCAUCACUAGAGUUCGGCAGGGGAGACUGGAAUUCCUGGUGUAGCGGUGAAAUGCGCAGAUAUCAGGAGGAACACCGGUGGCGAAGGCGGGUCUCUGGGCCGAUACUGACGCUGAGGAGCGAAAGCAUGGGUAGCGAACAGGAUUAGAUACCCUGGUAGUCCAUGCCGUAAACGUUGAGCGCUAGGUGUGGGGUCCAUUCCACGGGUUCCGUGCCGCAGCUAACGCAUUAAGCGCCCCGCCUGGGGAGUACGGCCGCAAGGCUAAAACUCAAAGGAAUUGACGGAAUCG